rnacentral:rRNA from 1 species
GACGAACGCUGGCGGCGUGCCUAAUACAUGCAAGUAGAACGCUGAAGGAGGAGCUUGCUUCUCCGGAUGAGUUGCGAACGGGUGAGUAACGCGUAGGUAACCUGCCUGGUAGCGGGGGAUAACUAUUGGAAACGAUAGCUAAUACCGCAUAAGAGUAGAUGUCGCAUGACAUUUGCUUAAAAGGUGCAACUGCACCACUACCAGAUGGACCUGCGUUGUAUUAGCUAGUUGGUGAGGUAACGGCUCACCAAGGCAACGAUACAUAGCCGACCUGAGAGGGUGAUCGGCCACACUGGGACUGAGACACGGCCCAGACUCCUACGGGAGGCAGCAGUAGGGAAUCUUCGGCAAUGGACGGAAGUCUGACCGAGCAACGCCGCGUGAGGGAAGAAGGUUUUCGGAUCGUAAAGCUCUGUUGUAAGAGAAGAACGAGUGUGAGAGUGGAAAGUUCACACUGUGACGGUAUCUUACCAGAAAGGGACGGCUAACUACGUG